CGAAAAGCUGUUGUUGAGAGUGCCUAUGAGGUUAUCCGACUCAAAGGGUACACCUCCUGGGCCAUAGGCUAUUCUGCUGCCAGCCUCGCCCGCUCGCUCCUCCGUGACCAGCGUAAAAUCCACCCAGUGUCCCUUCUGGCCAAGGGAUUUUACGGCAUCGCUGAUGACCGUGAGGUGUUUCUCAGCUUACCUGCGCAGCUCGGGCGAGGCGGGGUGAUGGGGGUUGCUAAUGUGCAUCUUACUGAGGAGGAGUCGGCGAGGCUCCGGCGGUCUGCUG
rnacentral:misc_RNA from 1 species